ACACUAUCAUUAACUGAAUCCAUAGGUUAAUGAGGCGAACCGGGGGAACUGAAACAUCUAAGUACCCCGAGGAAAAGAAAUCAACCGAGAUUCCCCCAGUAGCGGCGAGCGAACGGGGAGGAGCCCAGAGCCUGAAUCAGCAUGUGUGUUAGUGGAAGCGUCUGGAAAGGCGCGCGAUACAGGGUGACAGCCCCGUACACAAAAGCGCAUGUGCUGUGAGCUCGAUGAGUAGGGCGGGACACGUGGUAUCCUGUCUGAAUAUGGGGGGACCAUCCUCCAAGGCUAAAUACUCCUGACUGACCGAUAGUGAACCAGUACCGUGAGGGAAAGGCGAAAAGAACCCCGGCGAGGGGAGUGAAAAAGAACCUGAAACCGUGUACGUACAAGCAGUGGG
rnacentral:rRNA from 1 species